CGGGGGGCAGCAGUGGGGAAUCUUGCACAAUGGGGGAAACCCUGAUGCAGCGACGCCGCGUGAGCGAUGAAGCCUUUCGGGGUGUAAAGCUCUUUCGGCAGGGAAGAUAAUGACGGUACCUGCAGAAGCAGCUGCGGCUAACUACGUGCCAGCAGCCGCGGUAAUACGUAGGCAGCAAGCGUUGUUCGGAGUUACUGGGCGUAAAGGGUGCGUAGGCGGUCCUAUAAGUAUGGUGUGAAAUCUCCCGGCUCAACUGGGAGGGUGCGCCGUAGACUGUGGGACUAGAGUGUGGGAGAGGAAAGUGGAAUUCCUGGUGUAGCGGUGAAAUGCGUAGAUAUCAGGAGGAACACCGGUGGUGUAAACGGCUUUCUGGACCAUAACUGACGCUGAGGCACGAAAGCGUGGGUAGCAAACAGGAUUAGAUACCCGAGU
rnacentral:rRNA from 1 species